rnacentral:misc_RNA from 1 species
AAAUUAAAAAAAAAAAAAAUUAAUUGUAUAAUUUUAAAUUUAAAUUUCUCAUUCGUUUUAAUUAAUAAUUUUAAAAAUAUUGAAUUGGAAUUUAAAAAUAUCCAAUCUAAAUCAAAUAAAAAAAAAAUAGAAGAUCAUUUGAUGAAGAAUUCUUAACUAAAAUCUUCUCUGCCAAAUUCCAGAUUACUCUUUCAUGCACAAUGC